rnacentral:rRNA from 1 species
UGCAGUCGAACGAUGAUCCCAGCUUGCUGGGGGAUUAGUGGCGAACGGGUGAGUAACACGUGAGUAACCUGCCCUUAACUCUGGGAUAAGCCUGGGAAACUGGGUCUAAUACCGGAUAUGACUCCUCAUCGCAUGGUGGGGGGUGGAAAGCUUUUUGUGGUUUUGGAUGGACUCGCGGCCUAUCAGCUUGUUGGUGAGGUAAUGGCUCACCAAGGCGACGACGGGUAGCCGGCCUGAGAGGGUGACCGGCCACACUGGGACUGAGACACGGCCCAGACUCCUACGGGAGGCAGCAGUGGGGAAUAUUGCACAAUGGGCGAAAGCCUGAUGCAGCGACGCCGCGUGAGGGAUGACGGCCUUCGGGUUGUAAACCUCUUUCAGUAGGGAAGAAGCGAAAGUGACGGUACCUGCAGAAGAAGCGCCGGCUAACUACGUGCCAGCAGCCGCGGUAAUACGUAGGGCGCAAGCGUUAUCCGGAAUUAUUGGGCGUAAAGAGCUCGUAGGCGGUUUGUCGCGUCUGCCGUGAAAGUCCGGGGCUCAACUCCGGAUCUGCGGUGGGUACGGGCAGACUAGAGUGAUGUAGGGGAGACUGGAAUUCCUGGUGUAGCGGUGAAAUGCGCAGAUAUCAGGAGGAACACCGAUGGCGAAGGCAGGUCUCUGGGCAUUAACUGACGCUGAGGAGCGAAAGCAUGGGGAGCGAACAGGAUUAGAUACCCUGGUAGUCCAUGCCGUAAACGUUGGGCACUAGGUGUGGGGGACAUUCCACGUUUUCCGCGCCGUAGCUAACGCAUUAAGUGCCCCGCCUGGGGAGUACGGCCGCAAGGCUAAAACUCAAAGGAAUUGACGGGGGCCCGCACAAGCGGCGGAGCAUGCGGAUUAAUUCGAUGCAACGCGAAGAACCUUACCAAGGCUUGACAUGGGCCGGACCGGGCUGGAAACAGUCCUUCCCCUUUGGGGCCGGUUCACAGGUGGUGCAUGGUUGUCGUCAGCUCGUGUCGUGAGAUGUUGGGUUAAGUCCCGCAACGAGCGCAACCCUCGUUCCAUGUUGCCAGCGCGUAAUGGCGGGGACUCAUGGGAGACUGCCGGGGUCAACUCGGAGGAAGGUGGGGACGACGUCAAAUCAUCAUGCCCCUUAUGUCUUGGGCUUCACGCAUGCUACAAUGGCCGGUACAAAGGGUUGCGAUACUGUGAGGUGGAGCUAAUCCCAAAAAGCCGGUCUCAGUUCGGAUUGGGGUCUGCAACUCGACCCCAUGAAGUCGGAGUCGCUAGUAAUCGCAGAUCAGC